UAGCUCAAGGGCGUACACAUCUUGCCUAUGGCAUUUCCCUGGACGUAAGCGGUGACCGCAAGGUAGCAACCUGGAGUUAGCUCGGCUGUGAGUACGUGCACGGAAAGCAGCUGGGU
ncrna:unclassified sequences Flavobacterium-1 RNA